AGUGAACGCUGGCGGUAGGCCUAACACAUGCAAGUCGAACGGCAGCACAGUAAGAGCUUGCUCUUACGGGUGGCGAGUGGCGGACGGGUGAGGAAUACAUCGGAAUCUACUUUUUCGUGGGGGAUAACGUAGGGAAACUUACGCUAAUACCGCAUACGACCUACGGGUAAAAGCAGGGGAUCUUCGGACCUUGCGCGAUUGAAUGAGCCGAUUUCGGAUUAGCUAGUUGGCGGGGUAAAGGCCCACCAAGGCGACGAUCCGUAGCUGGUCUGAGAGGAUGAUCAGCCACACUGGAACUGAGACACGGUCCAGACUCCUACGGGAGGCAGCAGUGGGGAAUAUUGGACAAUGGGCGCAAGCCUGAUCCAGCCAUACCGCGUGGGUGAAGAAGGCCUUCGGGUUGUAAAGCCCUUUUGUUGGGAAAGAAAAGCAGCAGGUUAAUACCCCGCUGUUCUGACGGUACCCAAAGAAUAAGCACCGGCUAACUUCGUG
rnacentral:rRNA from 1 species